GGCUACUGACAAGCGCCAGACCAAUUAUGCAACGGAGGAACGGAGAGACCUGCCUCUUCCCACCCCUUGCCGCGGAAGCUGCAGCGGUAUCUGAGUGGGCUGAGGACAACCGGGAGAUUCUGGAAAUUCGGUGCUUUACCCCAGACGGGCAUCCAAGGUGUCAUUGAAGUAGGAAGUCCCGCUUUUAACAGAAUUUUCAGUUACUGUGGUCUGUUAGAUGCUAAAGUGACGCUUUAUAAAAAUCUGGAAAUCAGUCAGUUUACAGGUUGUAAGCGCAACUAGCCCACAGAACACCUGUGCAAGUUUUAUAAAAGUGAGGAGACUCUCCAAGGGGUUAGGGAGUCAGCACUGGCCGUUUUCAGUUCAUGUUCGCUUUCACUGCUGCAGACCCUCGGACAGGGCAAGAGAGUCAACCAAACCCAGUGAAUCCACCACUUGAGAAUCGAAAAGGAAACUAGAGAACCCGAAGCAAGACUUUUCCUGAAAAUCCUACCUCAUUUAAGUAGUGGAGCCAGGAUAAUGGUUUUGGCAAGAGUAUGGCUUGAGUCUUGGCCUUUUACCAGAAGACUCUAGCUGUGCUGGUGGGCUGUUUUAGAAAAAGAAAUAGCAAUUUGUUAUUUCUUCUAAUUUUAAAAGCACGGAAAGUAGAGCAUUUCCUUAAUGACUAAAAGAUUGUUAAAAAUGAAAAAAAAACCACUUAGAUUCUAUAAUAUACAUGGUCAGUGGAGAAAGC